UUACAUUUUUUCCGCAAACGCACACAUUUCGGAGUGUGUUUCGUUCGGAGCGAGGACUCCUGCGCACUUGGCGCAAAUGCCUCGUCGCCAUCUACUGCGCCUCAGCUGAUGUGGACGUUAAAAAGGCUCCAAACUUGAGUUGAAGAUUCUGAUUCCGUGAGAGAUUCUGAUUCAAGCCAUGAAGAGAGAAAAAAAGAAGAGGAAAUGAGCAGCAUCAUAUGACAGAUGACGUGCGUCAGUGGCUCAGAGUCGGUCCGCAGAGCAGAACAGAGGAUGAUGUCCCACAAGAGAAGACCUUCCGCGUGUCGACCCAUAAUAUGAAAAUCUGUGAGACGAGUUGACGCAGAACACAAGCCUGUUGUACUAAUGGAAGUGGCUACACCCUUCAGGCGGCUGGAAGUUUAAACAACGACACUGGCCUGCUUGUGACGACUGAACUGCGAGUGUCACCCGGAGUUCUUCCAUGUCUGUGAGUAUUAUAACGAGUAGAACACCUCCCUGGCCAAACAGCUCGGGGCCAGCCAGCUGCCUGCCCCGCAAUGGCUCCCCCUAGCCGUGCCUCCAUGUUUCCUCGCUACUGCACACCACAGUGCCCUGGCCCUCCCUGCUCAAUCACAUCACAAAGACGCCAAAAUACACCUGGAAACGUGCGUCUCUCCGUCCAAACGUGGGGCCAACGGCCUCACUGUGCCUCCCAGUCGACACUGGGCACCACUGGCCACAGUGGGACAGAGGAUUCCUUACCUUUUCUCACAGUGGCUCAGCCUAACCCUCCCUGUCCAACGUCCCAACCUCGACAACCUCCUUCUUCUUCCCAGCAAUCCCUGCAAACAAGGACACUUCCAUGUAUGUUGAAUAUGUAGGGGUGAUCCAAUUGGACUAAAGCAAUUUUAAAGAGCCCCAGAAGCCCCCCAAAACCCCCAAAUGGCCCAUUUGGCUCCAAAUUCGAACAUUAUCCAAAAUGCCAUUUUAAAAUGGCAUGUCGAUGGCCUCAAAGGGUAAAGCCCACUCCUCAUAUACACCAUGGUCUACCCCUGUGGUUUCAACUUAUUUUGGUCCAUCCAGCAGUCGUACAGUUGAUACCAACGAACAAUUGUCAGUCGGUGCGCAGCUGAGCUCCCGGAGACUUUCUGCUGCUUUCAGUGCGUUUGCCAAGCCCUGGAGCAUCUGUGGGAGGCUACAAAUAGUCCAUUUGUCGCAUAUAUGAGUGAAAGAGACCCCUUUCUUGUGGACUGGAGCAAAAAAACUCGAAGGGAAAUAUUUUCGUGAGAGCGGAAUCCAACAGCACAAAAAGAAAUCUUUGGAUCCAAAUGGGCAUCUCCAAAAGAGCGCAGGUGUAUCCAAAGGCACAGAGAGCUCUCCAGAGGCUCCAGGGCAAAAAAGGAGAAGUUUAUCCAGCACAAGAGGUAAAUAUAAUGAUACUUUCUUCUAAAAUGAACACAAAAAUUAAACGUUACAAUCCAAAAAUUGUAGAAUUAAAAGUCCACCGGGAAGCAAAUUGCGACGAGAGAACGGUUCCAAAUGGCGCAGUGGCACUGUGGAGAAUGAAGGGGUUAUUUCGCUUAUUAAAAGAUUUUUAUUUUCUUAUAUAUUUCUGUGCUAAUACUGACAGUAGUGUUGCACAGAUCACAAAUACCAAAACCACCGUCUGUCUGACCAACAGUAGCUACCAAGCAGGUAAAACCCUGAGCUGCAAACGCACCCAUUUAGUGCGCAAAAGUAGUCCUCCCGCGACGAGCCACAGUCUCCAGGCUUGAAUAAGUAUAACUUAUUAUCUUUGAAUAGCCCCGUAUAAUGCUGUAAGUAAGAAAAACAUCCAGACAAAGACGGUGAAGUCUUUCGCGGAGGGAGGGAUGACUGCGCCGGCGGUUGAAGGCUGUUUCCCCCUAAAUAAACCCGCAUGCAAAUUGUGCUGGCAGCUGCGGUGACGUCCCCCCCCCGAGGCCUGAUUGAUGUUUACGUCGUAUGUUACAUCAGCACAUAUUCACAAACAGGAUAGGGCGUUAUCCUCCCUGCGUGUUCGGACCUGAGCCUCCAGGACCCCGGGUCCCCCUCUCUGAAAUAUCCAGCCUCGGGCAGCAGCAACACAAGUGAAGCCCUGUGCUCCGCGCAGCCUGCGAUGGAAACUGCAGGCGGAGGGGUGGGGUGGGGGGGGGGGGAGAGAGAGAGAGAGAGAUUUAAAACCCCGACCCUCUGUUAGAAAAACGUCAAAGACCUUCAUUAUGUGCUCAGACUGUCCAUAUCAACGUGUGGUGAACACAGACGCGCCUGUCCCCACUGUGCGUUGUGUCGCCGCAGCUGUCGGACAGAUCACAUUUCCUCGCCGACCCAGUGCCACUGUAUGUGAUACUGGAGUCACCGCACUUGUGCAACGUCAGCUGUGCGUCGGGCUGCGGUCAAGAUGCGCAAUAUAUGGCUCCAGAGACCCGAACAGCCUCUGUUGCAAGACCGCCUCGUGUUUUUUUUUGUUUUUUUUCCUUAGCUGGGGGGCAGGUGGAGCGAGCUGUCGACGGUUUGACCAAACCCGGAGGGCAGUGAACGGAAAGACAAGAGGCAGGGACCUGCACAAAAACUCCUUGUUUUCAUUCACAUUCACUGUCGUGGUUCUUAUUGCGCUCAUUCAGCGAACGGGCCUGCCUAACGUGGUUUAUUGUAGCCUUCUUAUCACUUGAAUGCAUAUAAUAAGGCCACCAACAUACAACCCUUUUGAUAUUGUGAUUCUGAUUUCAGUGUACAGAUAUAUUAAAAUGAAGAAUUGGAACUUGCACUUGCAUUUUUCUUUUGUGUAAAAUGUAUAUAAAAAAAAUAAAAGCUUUCCUCACUCAGGGGGUAGGAGUC